CGUUGCUUCACAGUCGUUCUUCACUGGCUAGCUUUAUGUCUCCCUCCCCACCGUAAAGCUGCCAGUUGAAGAGCUGUUGUGGGUAACU
rnacentral:pre_miRNA from 8 species